rnacentral:rRNA from 1 species
ACUUGUACCGACUGGAUGAGCAGCGAACGGGUGAGUAACGCGUGGGGAAUCUGCCUUUGAGCGGGGGACAACAUUUGGAAACGAAUGCUAAUACCGCAUAAAAACUUUAAACACAAGUUUUAAGUUUGAAAGAUGCAAUUGCAUCACUCAAAGAUGAUCCCGCGUUGUAUUAGCUAGUUGGUGAGGUAAAGGCUCACCAAGGCGAUGAUACAUAGCCGACCUGAGAGGGUGAUCGGCCACAUUGGGACUGAGACACGGCCCAAACUCCUACGGGAGGCAGCAGUAGGGAAUCUUCGGCAAUGGACGAAAGUCUGACCGAGCAACGCCGCGUGAGUGAAGAAGGUUUUCGGAUCGUAAAACUCUGUUGGUAGAGAAGAACGUUGGUGAGAGUGGAAAGCUCAUCAAGUGACGGUAACUACCCAGAAAGGGACGGCUAACUACGUGCCAGCAGCCGCGGUAAUACGUAGGUCCCGAGCGUUGUCCGGAUUUAUUGGGCGUAAAGCGAGCGCAGGUGGUUUAUUAAGUCUGGUGUAAAAGGCAGUGGCUCAACCAUUGUAUGCAUUGGAAACUGGUAGACUUGAGUGCAGGAGAGGAGAGUGGAAUUCCAUGGGUGGGGGG